UACGGGGGGGGCAAGCGUUGUUCGGAUUCACUGGGCGUAAAGGGUGCGUAGGCGGUCGGGUAAGUCUGACGUGAAAUCUUCAAGCUUAACUUGGAAACUGCGUCGGAUACUAUUCGGCUAGAGGAAUGGAGGGGAGACUGGAAUACUUGGUGUAGCAGUGAAAUGCGUAGAUAUCAAGUGGAACACCAGUGGCGAAGGCGAGUCCCUGGACAGGUCCUGACGCUGAGGCACGAAAGCUAGGGGAGCAAACAGG
rnacentral:rRNA from 1 species